rnacentral:rRNA from 1 species
AACGAACGCUGGCGGCAUGCCUAACACAUGCAAGUCGAACGAGACCUUCGGGUCUAGUGGCGCACGGGUGCGUAACACGUGGGAAUCUGCCCUUUGCUUCGGAAUACCAGUUAGAAAUGACUGCUAAUACCGGAUGAUGUCGAAAGACCAAAGAUUUAUCGGCAAAGGAUGAGCCCGCGUAGGAUUAGGUAGUUGGUGGGGUAAAGGCCUACCAAGCCGACGAUCCUUAGCUGGUCUGAGAGGAUGAUCAGCCACACUGGGACUGAGACACGGCCCAGACUCCUACGGGAGGCAGCAGUGGGGAAUAUUAGACAAUGGGCGAAAGCCUGAUCCAGCAAUGCCGCGUGAGUGAUGAAGGCCUUAGGGUUGUAAAGCUCUUUUAACAGGGAUGAUAAUGACAGUACCUGGAGAAUAAGCUCCGGCUAACUCCGUG